rnacentral:RNase_P_RNA from 6 species
GUAAGUAUCAUAGAUGACUGCGCUGAUCUUUAGAUCGGUGAGGAAAGUCCGGACUCCAUGUAGUCUCUGACAUAUUGAGAUAGGUGCCAACGAAAGUUGGAAGGGAGUGAUCUUUUGGAGAAAAGGGCAACAGAAAGUUAUACCGCCUAAUUUAUUAGGUAAGGGUGAAAUGGUGGUGUAAGAGACCACCGGGUGUUGUAGUAAUACAACAUCGCGUGGUAACCCCCCCUGGAGCAAGGUUUAACCGCAUAGAUAGAUGGUCAUCUUAAACAGAAUCCGGCUUAUUUGAUACUUACGCAU